rnacentral:rRNA from 1 species
CCUACGGGCGGCAGCAGUGGGGAAUAUUGCACAAUGGGGGAAACCCUGAUGCAGCGAAGCCGCGUGAGUGAAGAAGUAUUUCGGUAUGUAAAGCUCUAUCAGCAGGGAAGAAAAUGACGGUACCUGACUAAGAAGCCCCGGCUAACUACGUGCCAGCAGCCGCGGUACUACGCAGGGGGCAAGCGUUAUCCGGAUUUACUGGGUGUAAAGGGAGCGUAGACGGAAGCGCAAGUCUGAAGUGAAAUCCCAUGGGUUAACCAUGGAACUGCUUUGGAAACUGUGCAGCUGGAGUGCAGGAGAGGUAAGCGGAAUUCGUAGUGUAGCGGUGAAAUGCGUAGAUAUUAGGAGGAACACCAGUGGCGAAGGCGGCUUACUGGACUGUAACUGACGUUGAGGCUCGAAAGCGUGGGGAGCAAACAGGAUUAGAUACCCGGGUAGUC